CCUACGGGAGGCAGCCGUAGGGAAUUUUCCGCCACGGGCGAAAGCCCGACGGAGCAACGCCGCGUGAGUGAUGAAGGUCUUCGGAUCGUAAAACGCUUUCAGAGGGAAGAACAAACGCUAAGUAAUAGCCCAGAUGGUGACGGUACCUAAUCAGAAAGCCCCGGCUAACUACGUGCCAGCAGCCGCGGUAAU
rnacentral:rRNA from 1 species